rnacentral:rRNA from 1 species
UACGUAGGGUGCAAGCGUUGUCCGGAAUUAUUGGGCGUAAAGAGCUUGUAGGCGGUUUGUCGCGUCUGCUGUGAAAUUUCGGGGCUCAACCCCGGACUUGCAGUGGGUACGGGCAGACUAGAGUGUGGUAGGGGAGACUGGAAUUCCUGGUGUAGCGGUGAAAUGCGCAGAUAUCAGGAGGAACACCGAUGGCGAAGGCAGGUCUCUGGGCCACUACUGACGCUGAGAAGCGAAAGCCAGGGGAGCAAACGGG